rnacentral:rRNA from 1 species
UACAGAGGUCCCAAGCGUUGUUCGGAUUCACUGGGCGUAAAGGGUGCGUAGGUGGUGAGGUAAGUCGGAUGUGAAAUCUCCGAGCUCAACUCGGGAAUGGCAUUGGAAACUACCUUGCUCGAGGGUUGGAGGGGGGACUGGAAUGCUUGGUGUAGCAGUGAAAUGCGUAGAUAUUCGCAAGAACACCAGUGGCGAAGGCGGCUCACUGGCCCGUUACUGACGCUGAGGCACGAAAGCGUGGGGAGCAAACAGG